UACGGGGGGGGGCAAGCGUUGUUCGGAAUUACUGGGCGUAAAGCGCACGUAGGCGGCUUUGUAAGUUAGAGGUGAAAGCCCGGGGCUCAACUCCGGAACUGCCUUUAAGACUGCAUCGCUUGAAUCCAGGAGAGGUGAGUGGAAUUCCGAGUGUAGAGGUGAAAUUCGUAGAUAUUCGGAAGAACACCAGUGGCGAAGGCGGCUCACUGGACUGGUAUUGACGCUGAGGUGGCGAAAGCGUGGGGAGCAAACAGG
rnacentral:rRNA from 1 species